AUACCACCCUUACUACAGUUGAAUUCUAACCCGGUGGAGUGGAUCCACGGAGACAGUGUCAGGCGGGUAGUUUGACUGGGGCGGUCGCCUCCUAAAUUGUAACGGAGGCUUACAAAGGUCAUCUCAACACGGUCGGUAAUCGUGUGUAGAGUGUAAAGGCAGAAGAUGGCUUUACUGUGAGACAAACAAGUCGAGCAGUUGCGAAAGCAGGUCUUAGUGAUCCGGCGGCUCCGCGUGGAAGGGCCGUCGCUCAAAGGAUAAAAGGUACGCUGGGGAUAACAGGCUGAUCUUGCCCAAGAGUUCACAUCGACGGCAAGGUUUGGCACCUCGAUGUCGGCUCAUCGCAUCCUGGGGCUGGAGAAGGUCCCAAGGGUUUGGCUGUUCGCCAAUUAAAGCGGUACGCGAGCUGGGUUCAGAACGUCGUGAGACAGUUCGGUCCCUAUCCAGUGUGGGCGUAAGAUACUUGAGGGAACCCGCAUCUAGUACGAGAGGACCGAUGUGCGCGGACCUACGGUGCAUCUGUUGUCAUACCAAUGGCAUAGCAGAGUAGCCAUGUCCGCAAAGGAUAAGUGCUGAAAGCAUCUCAAGCACGAAACCUAUCCCAAGAUAAGGUAUCUCAUAGCAUAAGCUAGUAAGGACCCAGGUAGACGACCUGGUUGAUAGGCUUCAGGUGUAAGCACAGUAAUGUGUUCAGCCGAGAAGUACUAAUAGUCCGAGGACUUACCAUA
rnacentral:rRNA from 1 species